UCUUCAUAGACAGUCAGUGAUGUGAGAGGGAUGUUGGUUGGUGUUUUGCAUAGAGACAUUGUGUGGCUAAACUGCAGCUGCUAUAAAAGUGCCAGUGUCCCUGUGCCAUAUUAAUGAUCUGUAUGUGUCACAGUGCAUAGAUAGAGACAUGUCUUAUCCCACUUAUCUACUGCUGCUGCUGGGGAUCCUCCUGAUCUUUAGCCAAGGUUCCUAUGGGCAGAUUGUACUGACUCAGUCUCCAGAUUAUGUCUCUGUGUCACCAGGAGAAACUGUCACCAUCACAUGUAAAGCCA